rnacentral:rRNA from 1 species
UACAGAGGGUGCAAGCGUUAUUCGGAGUUAUUGGGCGUAAAGAGCGCGUAGGUGGUUCGAUAAGUUUAGUGUGAAAGCCCUGGACUCAAUCCAGGAAGUGCAUUGAAUACUGUUGAACUAGAGUGCAGGAGAGGUAGGCGGAAUUCCAGGUGUAGAGGUGAAAUUCGUAGAUAUCAGGAGGAACACCGGUGGCGAAGGCGGCUUCCUGGACACUUACUGACGCUGAGACGCGAAAGCGUGGGGAGCAAACAGG